rnacentral:rRNA from 1 species
GACGGAGGAUGCAAGCGUUAUCCGGAAUGAUUGGGCGUAAAGCGUCCGCAGGUGGCAGUUCAAGUCUGCUGUCAAAGACCGGGGCUUAACUUCGGAAGGCAGUGGAAACUGAACAGCUAGAGUAUGGUAGGGGCAGAGGGAAUUCCUGGUGUAGCGGUGAAAUGCGUAGAGAUCCGGAGGAACACCAGCGGCGAAGGCGGCGUCCUGGACUGGUACGUGACGCUCAGGAGCGAAAGCGUGGGGAGCGAGUCCGG